rnacentral:tRNA from 1 species
GGGCCCUUAGCUCAGUCUGGUUUACAGCCCCCGGCUCAUACCAGCCCAGUGACAAUACGUCCGGCUGUGGGACACCGGGUGAUCGGUGGUUCAAAUCCGCCAGGGCCCA